UACGUAGGGGGCUAGCGUUGUCCGGAAUCAUUGGGCGUAAAGAGCGUGUAGGCGGCUCGGUAAGUCCGCUGUGAAAGUCCAGGGCUCAACCCUGGAAUGCCAGUGGAAACUGUCGAGCUAGAGUCCGGAAGAGGCGAGUGGAAUUCCUGGUGUAGCGGUGAAAUGCGUAGAGAUCCGGAGGAACACCGAAGGCGAAGGCAGUGUCCUGGCGCGUAACUGACGCUGAGGUGCGAAAGCCAGGGGAGCGAACGGG
rnacentral:rRNA from 1 species